AGUGCGCACGGCGACGUGAACGUGCGUGAAAAUACGAAGAUCUGUUCGGGUCUGUUCGGCUCCGGGGGAAUCGAUUCCCCGAGCCCUCGAAGUUCGAGAGACUCGCGCUCCUUAUUCGGAGCGUUCUUGACAUCGAAUCGCGAAUACGACAGACAACGACACACGGAGCAGUAAGCAGCAGUGAAUGGUACGAAGAGACAUUGCGUACUCCUGGAAAUACAGAGUUUAUUUAUAGGAAUUCGUCCUCCGGUCGACUAUCAGCAAACGCCCAUAGAAGACAAGAAAAAGAAAAAGUAGAAGUAGAAAUAGAAGAAAAUAAAAAGAAAACGGAAAAAAUGAAGAAGACGAAAGGAACCAAAAGAAAAUAUUUUUAUUUCUGUUUUUUCUCCCCUCUCUCUUUAUAUUUUAUUGUUCUUUGCGGAACAAUAGUUUUGCAUCGUUUAAACUUAUAUUAAGAAAAAUAUAAGAAUAAAAAGAAAAUAAAAGGGAUACCUUACGACGA